CAAGAGGUCACACCUGUUCCCAUGCCGAACACAGAAGUUAAGCUCUUGAACGCCGAUGGUAGUUGGGACUUUGUCCCUGUGAGAGUAGGACGUUGCCAGGC
rnacentral:rRNA from 1 species